AUUGAACGCUGGCGGCAGGCCUAACACAUGCAAGUCGAGCGAGCGGCGGACGGGUGAGUAAUGUCUGGGGAUCUGCCUGAUGGAGGGGGAUAACUACUGGAAACGGUAGCUAAUACCGCAUACCAUCAGAUGUACCCAUAUGGGAUUAGCUAGUAGGUGGGGUAACGGCUCACCUAGGCGACGAUCCCUAGCUGGUCUGAGAGGAUGAUCAGCCACACUGGAACUGAGACACGGUCCAGACUCCUACGGGAGGCAGCAGUGGGGAAUAUUGCACAAUGGGCGCAAGCCUGAUGCAGCCAUGCCGCGUGUAUGAAGAAGGCCUUAGGGUUGUAAAGCACUUUCAGCGGGGAGGCGUUACUCGCAGAAGAAGCACCGGCUAACUCCGUGCCAGCCGCCGCGGUAAUAC
rnacentral:rRNA from 1 species